rnacentral:rRNA from 1 species
CGCAACCCCUAUUGUUAGUUGCCAUCAUUCAGUUGGGCACUCUAGCGAGACUGCCGGUAAUAAACCGGAGGAAGGUGGGGAUGACGUCAAAUCAUCAUGCCCCUUAUGACCUGGGCUACACACGUGCUACAAUGGUUGGUACAACGAGUUGCGAGUCGGUGACGGCGAGCUAAUCUCUUAAAGCCAAUCUCAGUUCGGAUUGUAGGCUGCAACUCGCCUACAUGAAGUCGGAAUCGCUAGUAAUCGCGGAUCAGCACGCCGCGGUGAAUACGUUCCCGGGCCUU